GACGAACGCUGGCGGCGUGCCUAACACAUGCAAGUCGAGCGAGUGAAUCUCCUUCGGGAGUGAAGCUAGCGGCGGACGGGUGAGUAACACGUGGGCAACCUGCCUCAUAGAGGGGAAUAGCCUUUCGAAAGGAAGAUUAAUACCGCAUAAGAUUGUAGCUUCGCAUGAAGUAGCAAUUAAAGGAGCAAUCCGCUAUGAGAUGGGCCCGCGGCGCAUUAGCUAGUUGGUGAGGUAACGGCUCACCAAGGCGACGAUGCGUAGCCGACCUGAGAGGGUGAUCGGCCACAUUGGGACUGAGACACGGCCCAGACUCCUACGGGAGGCAGCAGUGGGGAAUAUUGCACAAUGGGGGAAACCCUGAUGCAGCAACGCCGCGUGAGUGAUGACGGCCUUCGGGUUGUAAAGCUCUGUCUUCAGGGACGAUAAUGACGGUACCUGAGGAGGAAGCCACGGCUAACUACGUGCCAGCCGCCGCAGUAAUAC
rnacentral:rRNA from 1 species